CUGUAAAAGUCUAGGCUACAACCUUAAAUGUUAUAGUAAUGUGCGGCCCACUUUACAGCAUUAGCAGAUUUUUUUUUAUCCUUGUGAAACGUUUAAUUUUAAUUGAAUUAACUUAAAGACAAAGAAAUUUUUUUCAUUAAACCACUGUUUAAAAAAAAGUAGCUUAUUUAGCAAUUUUAGCUUUCUAAACCGAGACGUCAUAACCGUGGGAAACUGUCAUUUUUGUGUAUCGUUACACCCCUAAUUAUAAGUGUGUUCUAAAGAGUGUCCAGAAUACUCUUAAAAAAAAAAAAAACUCCCAUACACAAUUUAUUUGAAGUUUAUUAGCAUGCUCCACAAGUGUUUUCCACCCGCAUCUUUGCAGAGAACCCAAAUGUGCAGAGCAGAUUCCCAUCAAGAGAAAGUUCAUAGGCCUGGGCUGAUCAGCAGCGGACGCCCACAGAGCCGAACCCAGCGAGAAGCUGUGAGAUCAACUCAUCAAGCACCUGUUCGCAUGUCUCAUCACAGAUUCCCCGUGUUCCCCCUGCCUGCUUUACUGCCACUUAAGAACAGCGGAUUCAUCAUGCAUGAGUUCGUGAUAUUUCAUUGACAUUCUGAUGAAGAGAACUGUAAUUAAAUGUCGUCUUUUCGCUGGUGGGGAAGAGGCAGCUUACAGGAAUAAGGAGGUGGCCAGUCUGAUGUCAUGGAGACAAUAAUAUCAUCCUCAACAAGGACGGAGGAAAUGAUAGUGGACAUGAGAAAGAAGAGGAGUACGCAUCAGCCACUGUUCAUCCGGGAGCUUCAAGUGGAUAGGGUUGACCUCGCAGGUGUCCACUGGAUGUCACUUGUCCCCUGUCAGGAGACCAUGGAACCAUGAAGAACAAAGGGAAUAUAAAAGACUUGACCAUUCAACCAAAAUCUGGCCAUGUACGUUAAAUGAACAGCUCGGGAAAAAAAUAAAAAUAAAAUAAAAAACCUUUCUAUCUCAGCCUUGUUUCAAAAGCGUAUGAACUGAGGGGCUUAUUUCGACCUCCAAAAUGACCAAAAAUC